rnacentral:rRNA from 1 species
UACGGGGGGUGCGAGCGUUGUCCGGAAUCACUGGGCGUAAAGGGCGCGUAGGUGGUUUGAUAAGGGUGUGGUGAAAGCCCGGGGCUCAACCCCGGGUCUGCCGUGCCGACUGUCAAACUCGAGGGCUGUAGAGGCAGACGGAAUUCCGGGUGUAGCGGUGGAAUGCGUAGAGAUCAGGAGGAACACCGGUGGCGAAGGCGGGUCUCUGGGCCGUAACUGACGCUGAGGAGCGAAAGCGUGGGGAGCGAACAGG